AACGUAGGUGGCAAGCGUUAUCCGGAUUUACUGGGCGUAAAGGGUGUGCAGGCGGGGUAGCAAGUGGGGGGUGAAAGCCCUGGGCUUAACCUGGGAAUUGCAGUCGAUACUACUCGGCUCGAGUAUGGGAGAGGGCAGUGGAAUUCCCGGUGUAGCGGUGAAAUGCGUAGAUAUCGGGAGGAACAUCAGUGGCGAAGGCGGCUGCCUGGCCCAAUACUGACACUCAGGUGCGACAGCGUGGGGAGCAAACAGG
rnacentral:rRNA from 1 species